rnacentral:misc_RNA from 1 species
GAUGAAGAACGCAGCGAAAUGCGAUGAGUAAUGCGAAUUGCAGAAUUCAGUGAGUCAUCGAAUCUUUGAACGCACAUUGCGCCCUGUGGUAUUCCGCAGGGCAUGCCUGUUCGAGCGUCAUUUCAACCCUCAAGCUCUGCUUGGUGUUGGGCCCUGCCCGCUGCGGCCGGCCCUAAAGACAGUGGCGGUGCCGCCUGGCCCUGAGCGUAGUACAUCUCUCGCUCCAGUGCCCGGUGGUAGCCUGCCAGAACCCCAACUCUCGUGGUUGACCUCGGAUCAGGUAGGGAUACCCGCUGAACUUAAGCAUAUCAAUAAGCGGAGGA